CUUAAAUACGGAGUGAAUCUGAAACAAGAGUGUGUAUCAUGAAAUGGUGAGGUUUGAUUUUGAAUUACCUACCAUCUUGGUACCUGAUGAAUGCUAAGAAUUCUUGAUCUAGUGAUAUCAGCUCUUGGGCUAUGCAUUACAUCUCCAUUAUUCAUGCUGUUGUUGUGCUUUAGCUUUCUUCUAUGUUUUUGGGUGUAUGGCACGGGGAAAAGAAUUUUUCUAUACACAAACAAAAUAAUCCUAUGGUUGCUCUGUUUAGAGGUAUGGUGCACCUCCACAUGGCGGGGU
rnacentral:misc_RNA from 1 species